rnacentral:lncRNA from 1 species
UUCAAUUUAGAAUGUGUGUACUGAUUUUCAGCCUUAGAAAUUGAUUUGAUUACCUCCGCAGGUAAGCAACUUUGACAAGCUGUCAGUUCCACCUGUUCUACUUUUAUUUCUCUACACAAUCACGGUAAUCAACUGUGAAAAAACUAGCUUUAGUAAAUUCAGAGAGAUUUUUCGGCGCUGCCUCUCUGUCUAUAACACCUCCGUCACCAAACUGCAUUCUGGAUGAAAUACAGCAAGGUGCAAAUCGUUCUCCUGGUCUCCUCCAUAAACGUUCACAUCCACUUCGAGAUUGUACUAAUCAGAAAACAUCUUCAUUGCUGAACAGUCCCAAGUAUUUGUGCUCAUUUGUAAAUCUCAUCCUGUUAGCUCGAUGAGCUGUUGUUAAUUUAGGGCAUGCUAUUGGCUUAUGAGAACGUAAACCAUUUCCAUGCAGGACUCUUCUUACAGUUGAUGCAGAAAUAUGGUUCCUCGAUCUUCUAACAAACGACUAGCGAAAUUCUUUAGCGGUAAUCUUUAAAAACGUUCACACUCACCGUGCACCUUGUUCUGCCUGAUAUUGGUCUUGUGGCGACACGUUUCAAUUAUUAUUUUACUAUUUUUUUAAUUGCUAAUUUUAAAUAUUGACUUUCCUUUUCUAAUCGAAAUAAUAUAGGUCAUUUAAUAUUCACAUGUGUUUUCGCUCCUAAAUUACAAAACCAGAAUGUAUAAAAUUAAUGGUUUUUUCAUGGGAAACACAAAUUCCAUAAUAGAUUACGGUAUCAGAUUAGCCACCCGCGUUAUGUCAACUUCCUAAAAACCACAGAAAUGUUUUCAGCUUUUAAAACGCCAGAUCUAAUAAAUUGUCGCCUAUCUGGCCAUAUGGUAGAACACCAGACAGAUUAAAGUGUUUGUGGUCUCGUUCAGUCGAUUCAUAACCUCGAGUCGGUUCACACACCCCAGCAGGCGUCGGUCGGUCAUAAAACCCCCGCGGGGCAAAACAACAACAAACCCUUACGAGAUAUUAGCAAAACACGUUUUUUU